rnacentral:rRNA from 1 species
UACGGAGGGGGCUAGCGUUGUUCGGAAUUACUGGGCGUAAAGCGCACGUAGGCGGCUUUGUAAGUUAGAGGUGAAAGCCCAGGGCUUAACCCUGGAAUUGCCUUUAAGACUGCAUCGCUAGAAUCGUGGAGAGGUGAGUGGAAUUCCGAGUGUAGAGGUGAAAUUCGUAGAUAUUCGCAAGAACACCAGUGGCGAAGGCGGCUCACUGGCCCGGUACUGACACUGAGGUGCGAAAGCGUGGGGAGCAAACAGG